ACUGCCCAAACCUGAAAUCCUUACCCGAGGGACUGUGCCACCUCACCAAUCUUCAGUCAUUAAUUGUUCACGAUUGUCAAAGUCUUGUUUCGUUGCCGAGAAUGAAUGUGUGGCCAAGAAAUUUGAGCAUCGGAGAUUGCGAGAAAUUGGAGGUGGCACAGUUGGCGAGAGACAUGAUGCACACCGAGAAAUUGGAAAUUGAUUACUUUGAAGGUUUAACAACUACAACUUCCUUCCCCACCAACGUAACAUCACUGGAAAUUAACAAGAUCAAGAAUUGUAAGGCGCUGAUGGAAUCUCAAGGGUUGCAGAGACUCGCUUCUUUGAGAGAAUUGAGUCUGAGGGGUGAAGAUGAUGGAGGUCUGGUGUCAUUUCCACCUGCUGCUGAGAAUUCAAAGGAGACGGAGAUACUGCUCCCCAGAUCUCUUGUUAAUUUGAGAAUUUCAGGCUUCCCAAAUCUAAAGAAACUGAGCAAGGGCUUUCAAUUCCUCACCUCUCUUGAAAUUAUUGGGAUCUCCAACUGUCCGAAGCUUACAACCCUUCCAGUGGAGGAAGGCCUGCCUCUUUCACAACUUCGUAUUCACAACUGUCCUCUACUUGAACAGAGAUACAAAGGACGAUACCGGCACAAGAUAGCACACAUCCCUUGUGUACAAAUUAAUUACAAAGUCAUAUAAGAGAAAACCAACACUCCUCGACCGAGUCGUUUCCAGGUACGCACUUGUAAUUUGAGACAACAUCCGCACUGAUGAUAAUGUUAUCAAAUACAUGUAGAAAAGCGAGGGAACAUGUUGAAGCUUGUCAAACUUUCCUCUGUUUUCCACAUCUAACGUUUUAUUUCUUCCAUCUACAGGUCUCCUAAUGCUCAAAACUGUUGAUCACAUCCUUUUCCUCCACAAAAUAUGAUAUUAAUUUGGAUUCUCAAUUCCAGAAAGUUUAAUUCUGUGGAAACAAUAUCAAAGAAACUUAGCUUCCAGAAUGCAAUUCCAUCUGGAUAGUCCUUUGCGUCCCUUGCGUACAAUAUGGGUUAUAGAGUCCUUUACAGGUAAAUAGUUAUAAUUUCAGACAACAUCCGCACUGAUGAUAAUAUUAUCAAAUAUGUUUGAAAAGUGAAGGAACAUAUUGAAGCUUGUCAAACUUUCCUCUGUUUUAAAUUUGAACUUUUUAUUUCUUCCAUCUGCAGGUCUCCAUAUAAUAUGACAUUUGGAGUCUCAACUCGAUCCCUUCCGGGAAGUUUGUGAUAGAAACAAUAUCAGCUCUGUCGAGGUUUGUCAAAUACACUAAGAUGUGAAAAUGCAACUCAAUUUGUACUGUAUUGCAUGUAGUUUUGUAUUCUGUGUUGAAGUUUAGUUUGCUAAUCACUAUUCAAAUACUCGUAGUAUUCAAUGGCUUUAUAACAAUGUAUUAUGUCAUCUUAAUCAAGCUACUAAUCAAACACAAGCUGCCAUUGCUGGUUGUAAACUGUGACACUCAAACACUCUCAAGGGCGAGUGUUUGAGUGUAUAUAUUUGUCUCUUUUUUAAAAGGAUAACUUAUAUUGCUUAAUCAAUGGCGAAAAGUAAAUAGUUCAAACUUUUAAAUGUAACAUAUUUAGUAGCAAAACAUAUAUGUUGAACAACAGCAUGAGACUCUUUUAUAGAUAGUGUUGUAAGUAAGUUUUAGUAGCAAAACAUAUAUAUGUAGUAGCCUUUACAGAGUAGUAUGCUCCAAUUUCCGGCAAAUAUCUGAAAAUGGGUACGUUACAGGCAUUUUGUCACAGCCAGGAUAUAUGGUUCUGAGGAUGCCCUGGGAAUAGGUUUAACAGAGGCUAUUCAAGAUGGGACGGUGGAAAGAGAAAACAUUUUUGUUACCUCUAUGUUAUGGGGUGGUCAUCAUCAUUACCCUGUUGUUUCAGUGCUCUAAAGUAAGCACAGAUUCUAGAUUACUUACCUAUCAACACCGAAUUCAUUUCUUAAUCUACUGACUAAAUUUUGAACUAGGCAGAUGGUUAUGUUGGUUGAUAACUUGAUAUUGUGGACUUCAAUGGUAGCUUUUUGGCUGGUGCGAAUCUGAUAAUAUUAGUGAUACUAAGGUAUUAAGCUGCUCAUUGGUACUUAUGUAAUGUAGCAUUGAUUCAUGCAGUUUUCUAAUUGGACUUUCUAAUGACAGGCUGGGGGACUGUUUUAAUUUGUAUUGGUGAUUGAGUUGCGGAGGACUGGAGGCCGCUGUAAAGAAGAAGCUCAAGUAAGAUUAGUUUCAGUGGCCUUUGCUUGUACUUAUUUAUAUAUUAUCCAUCCAAAUGUGUUUCCCUUGGUGCUUGUUUGCAGUGUUAUAAGCGUUCAUCUGAUGAGUUCAAAGUCUUUGGUUGGAGUAGCUAGCUGGAGUUGCAUCAGAGAUUCAAAAGGAAAAGAAGGUAUGCACUUCUUAGUUAUGUGUAUACAUGUGUCCAGUUCAUUGUUUAAACCAUUGAUAUCAGUUUAUGUGUAUAGCAUUAUCCAUUCUCAUGCAUAUUUUGUACUUUCUGUUGAAUGAAUUGGAACUUGAACUUCUAUCAUUUACAUGAACUCCAAAUUGAGUUCUUUGGCUGUGUUUUGGUGCAGGGGGUGUGACGUGUAAGUUAUGGUGAGCUUUUUGUUACAAACUCAGGGAAUCACCUCUUUGAAUUGAACAAGAGAUCUGGGGAGAAGCAUGAGUGAACACUGUGAACCCAAAGUCUCAUCUAUCUCAGCACAUUGCCCUCUCAGCACAUUGCCUCUCCCACUACCAGGACCACCAGAGAAUGAGGUCAACAUAACGUAACAACCUCUUCCAAGGCAACAUAACUGAUCAUUCAUACGAAUGACAUACUUCUUUGCUAUCAUUUCUGAGAAUAACUUGGUCUGAUUCGUCGAACGCUUCUCUUUUGGUUCAGAUGUUUUACUUUACCACGGUGAAUGAUCCUUCCUAGUAAAGCUUAUUCAUCUUCAAGACACGUACGUAUGAGAAACUUCUUGUUUGUUUACGUGUGUUGGCUAGAAUGAUCAUGCAAACAAUCUCACAGCUCUCAUUUAGGUACAAGUGGAUAUGUAAAACUGUGCUUCGAGUAGUUCCAUGGUGGUGGCAUUCAAAUGUUUGUGCCUAUUUCGACCCCUGUGCUCAGUUUGGUAUUCUAAAGCUUUGAAUUUGUAUGCCAAAUCUGUUCGUGUAUUAGAUUUUCGAAUCAUUUUUGUGGUCUCUAAGAUGAUAGGAAGAACAUGAUGAGAAAAUCUCUGCUUCACAUGACUGAUUUUUGGGUUGGGAUUCUAACGCGUCGAUCUUUGUGGCGGUGCUCAAAAUAUAUGUAUCAUGUCUUGUUGUGAAAUAUGUCCACAAAAUCUAUGCUAUUAUAUAACCAGCAAUGUGUAUCUUCCUAAGGGAUUUAGAAUGCCUAAUGUAUUCCCCCUAUCGGAUUUUGGUCUUCCCAGAAAUGGAUUUUGAUAUAUAAUCCAAUCUAAUUCGUAUAUAAUAGGCCGACUAGGUGGUGGUACUGAGUAGUACGGUGUAAGCUCUAUGGGAUUUGGACCCAAACUGUCAUGAAAAUAGGGAUGUUGUCUCAUAAGUGUAAAGAAGAAUACUCAAGAACCUAGAUCUGCUAAUGUGAUUAAAUUUCAAGAUUAAGCAAGGGGGAUUAAUUACUAAAAUGAAAUUUAUAACAUCAUUUGACUUUUAAGCCACAUCAACUGUUUUCUUAUUAAGGUUAUAUAUGCUACCCUUAAAUCUUAAUUUUUAAACGCUUCUCAGACUGACGGAACACAACAACUUUAACGAGAUUAUUUUAUUUACAAUUUUUCAAAGUUGAAAAACAUGAAAAUUCAUUAAAAAAAGACUGUUAACAUUUUUAUGUUCUGUCAAUUAGAACACCUUCUAAAACUCAUGUUCUAUGAAUCUCUUUCACACAUCGCAAAAUACCAGAUUUCUCUUAGCCUUGAAAGAAUAGAGAUCACGAAUUGUAGGAAUUUGAAGUCAUUAAUAGAGAAAGAGGAGGAGGUGGGUAACGGUUCUUCUUCUUCUUGUCUUGAGGAUUUGAGAAUAGGGAAUUGUCCCUCUUUGAUGUGCUUAUUAUGCAAAUGUCAAUUACCCAAGUCUCUUAAACAGCUUAAGAUAAGGGAAUGUGGACAGCUGGAGCUAAUAACUGAGAGGUUCUCGAUGACAGCUGGCAAGUCGAACAAAUUUUCAUCUCUGACUGCCCAAACCUGAAAUCCUUACCCGAGGGCCUGUGCCACCUCACCAAUCUUCAGUCAUUAACUGUUUUGGAUUGUCAAAGUCUUGUUUCGUUACCGAGAAUGAAUGUAUGGCCAAGAGAGAUAUGGAUCGAAAAUUGCGAUAAAUUGGAGGUGGCACAGUUGGCGAGAGACAUGAUGCACACCAGUAAUCUUGAAGAUCUGACAAUUGAUUACUUUGAAGGUUUGACAACUACAACUUCCUUCCCCACCAACCUAACAUCACUGGAAAUUGACAAGAUCAAGAAUUGUAAGGCGCUGAUGGAAUCUCAAGGGUUGCAGAGACUCACCUCUUUGAGAGAAUUGGAUCUGAGGGGUGAAGAUGAUGGAGGUCUGGUGUCAUUUCCACCUGCGGCUGAGAAUUCAAAGGAGACGGAGAUACUGCUCCCCAGAUCUCUUGUUGAUUUGGACAUUGGAUUCUUCCCAAAUCUAAAGAAACUGAGCAAGGGCUUUCAAUUCCUCACCUCUCUUGAACUUCUUUCCAUCCUCAGCUGUCCGAAGCUUACAACCCUUCCAGUGGAGGAAGGCCUGCCUCUUUCACUUGAGCGACUUUAUAUUGACAACUGUCCUCUACUUGAACAGAGAUACAAAGGACGAUACCGGCACAAGAUAGCACACAUCCCUUGCGUAGAAACUAAUGGCGAAGACAUAUAAGAGAAAACCAACACUCCUCGAUGGAGUGGUUUCCAGGUACGCACUUGUAAUUUGAGACAACAUCCGCACUGAUGAUAAUGUUAUCAAAUACAUGUAGAAAAGCGAGGGAACAUGUUGAAGCUUGUCAAACUUUCCUCUGUUUUCCACAUCUAACGUUUUAUUUCUUCCAUCUACAGGUCU
rnacentral:lncRNA from 1 species